ensembl:lncRNA
CAAAGAUAUUUUGCUGGAGAUCCCUGUCUACUUGAGGUCUUCUAAAGGAAAGAAGUUAAAAUUUUGAAAUACUUCAGUGAUGUGAUCAGCAGACAGUAGUGGGAAAGUAUUUCUCCUAAACUUGACUGGUGAUCAAAAUAAGGAAGGAAGAUCUGAAAGAGCAGAAAAUAUUUUUGUUAAUCAGGAUAUGGCACUUUCCAACAUCUGGAUGUCAAAACACUUGCUUUGAAUUCAAUACUAUUAACAUGUGUCAUUUAAAUGAAUUUUUUUCUCCAGAGCCAAUUGGGUGGCUACGAUUCUUGGCAAGGUUUUUGCAGUUUGUUGCUUACAUUACCUGACCCGUGGUCUGUUUGUCUUACGAUCUCUGUGGGAAAAAACAGCAAGAGACAUCAACCCCCACCCUGCCUACCCGAAAAAAAGCAAUGCCACAAAGCUCUGAAAAUAGAUCAGAACCCAGAAACAAAGUUCUAGGAUGAAGUCUCAUCCUUCCACUGAACCAUUUUGACCAGAAGGUAACCUCAUGGGAUUUCUGCUGUUUUUGCCUGUGACAUCAUGUAACAUCAAAUGAGAAAGCAUCUGAUUCUUCUGAAUAUCAACGAGACAUGAUUAAACUGAAUACAACAGCUUGGGAAUCCAGGAAAAAAAAGUUUGAAUAAAAGGUCAGAGAAAGAUCAGGCAUCAGCUCUGGCUCUUCGCAAAAUGAUAAAACUAACAGGGAAUGACUCAGCUAGCCCUGAUGAAAAAGCUCCUUUCUUUGCAGUGUAAACAACACAGUCUGUGUUCUUGAAAUCCCAGACUGAAACAUCAACCAGCACUGGAAAAUACGAUACCCCAGAAUGCCUUCCCUGUCCUGGGCAUAGCCUGUCACCAGUAUUUCAGGGGAUCUUAUUCACUGCGACUGGGACUAACUACUCAGAAGAGACUUCUGCAUGAGUAAAAGGGAAAAAAGCUUGUGUGUGGACUGACCUCAAGAGUGUGAAGCAAAUAUUUUGUUUCAAAUCAACUUUUGACCCAUUUCUGAAGUAAAUUGAGUGACCAGUAAUUGAAACCAGCAAAAAAAAAAAAAGAGAGAAAAAGAAAAAGGAGAUGUUGAAAACCAUUUGAAUAAGUACUGCACUAAUGGACCAAUGGUAUUUUCCAUUCAACAAGUAGCAGAGCUGCAAGAGGAGAAGGAAUACGAAGUGCUGGGGCAAAGGAAGUACAGCCAUCUCCUCCCUGCUGCAUUGGAUGUGGAGCAAAGAAGCCACCUCGUACUGAAUGACCGUGCAAGGCCGUGCCUUACAGACAAGAUGGCACCAACUAAACCUAAAAAAAAUGACUAACUGCCAAGAUAAUUCAAAGAAUAAUGAAGUUACAACAGCAGCAAAGAUGCAAAGAAAACUGAUGUGUUAUCUCUUCCUGGAGCUCACCACAAAAGAAUAAAAUGCUUCAUCUUUAAAAUGAAUGGGUCUAAAAUUUGUGAUCGCAGCUCUGCUUAUCAGGACGUGCUGAUGGAUUGGAUUAUGUGGCAGUCACAUGGAGGAGCCUUUGCUCAUGUUUGAUUUUAUAAAAUUCGUUCUUUUCUGUGACACUUUCAUACUUUGGGGAAACUUGUUUGUUGAUAAGUACUUGAAUUAACCUUUUAAAUAGAAGGAAUGUCUGCAAUAAGUUCAGCUUUCUAUUAAGACAAAUCCUGGGACUCACUUGUGACUCGGACUGCAGGAGGAGAAAAGUCAGAAAAUUUUCUUGUAGUGCUGCACAUGUUAAGCAGGCCUUGGACCUGGGCUGCUCCUCACAACAGAUGUGUGAGGAGGUCAGAGAGUGGGUGCGGACUUGGCUCCUGUGCUGCUUUGGCCAUUGCCACUGAUCCUCGAAAGUUCAAGACCUACCCCUGUGUGCUGGUUUUAAAGAAACACCUGUACGGAGCAGGAAAAGAUCUGCACGUGCCAGUUGCAUCAAAGAAAUGUCCCUUUUGCAUGCAUCCCUAGGGACCACAGCUCACAUAUGCUAUUACGGCUGCCCUGGUGUAGCCCUAACGGUUUUGUUGUGUCCCUGGCUGAAUACCAGUGAAGGUUAAUUCCCAUCAGUAUCACAGUGUUUCUUACUCAGUUAUGUGGAGUCUCAUGAUGCUGGUUUUCUUUCUAGGUGAUAGAAUAAUGAUAUUAUAUGAAAGCCUUUGCUUCCAAGGACUGUAGGACAGAACUGUAUACCCAUUUGAGUAACCUAUAGGAUAUACAGAGCACUAUGCCAUUGAAUAAUGAUGUGGAUUAUAAGCAUGAAGUUUCUUACUAGAAGACAGCUAGGAUCACUUCUUGCAAUAUAAGUACCACUGAAACAAGCCUCU